GAGGAAUAUUGGUCAAUGGGGGCAACCCUGAACCAGCCAAGUCGCGUGAAGGAUGAAGGUCCUAUGGAUUGUAAACUUCUUUUAUACAGGAAUAAAUUGGGGGACGUGUCCCCUUUUGCAUGUACUGUAUGAAUAAGGAUCGGCUAACUCCGUGCCAGCAGCCGCGGUAAUACGGAGGAUCCGAGCGUUAUCCGGAUUUAUUGGGUUUAAAGGGUGCGCAGGCGGGAUGUUAAGUCGGCGGUGAAAUUUUGCAGCUCAACUGUAAAAGUGCCUUCGAUACUGGCCUCCUUGAGUGUGGAUGAAGUAGGCGGAAUUUGUGGUGUAGCGGUGAAAUGCUUAGAUAUCACGAGGAACUCCGAUUGCGCAGGCAGCUUACUAAGCCACAACUGACGCUCAUGCACGAAGGCGUGGGGAUCAAACA
rnacentral:rRNA from 1 species